rnacentral:rRNA from 1 species
UACAGAGGUGCCCAAGCGUUGUUCGGAUUCACUGGGCGUAAAGGGUGCGUAGGUGGGUAAGGCAAGUCAGGUGUGAAAUCUCCGGGCUCAACCCGGAAAUGGCAUUCGAAACUACCUUGCUAGAGGGUUUGAGGGGGGACUGGAAUACGUUGGUGUAGCAGUGAAAUGCGUAGAUAUCAAGUGGAACACCAGUGGCGAAGGCGAGUCCCUGGAAACUCCUGACACUGAGGCACGAAAGCUAGGGAGCAAACAGGAGUUAGAUACCCCAGA